CUUGAAUGUGCACAAUUAAAAUCAUGUGUCAAAAGGACAACAUCCAAAAUUACAAACUCCCACUAAACUAAGAUAUCAUCAAAAUGUACAACACCCAUGGGAGCAGUGUGCUCAUGAAAGACCUUUGGUGGUAGUCCUUUAGUAAAUGGGUCUUAUCAUGGAGUUUGUCCCAAUAUGUUCUAUAGUAACUUGACCACUUUAAACUCUUCCUUUAAAAAUUAGGAAUUUAAUGUCUAUAAAUUUAGACAUUAUCGAACUCCUCUAGUUGUUUGAAUAGAAAACUGCUAAGUUAUUGUCACAAAAUAACUUAAGUGAUCUUUCAACUCCAUCCAAAAAUUUACAGUCUAGUGACAAAAUUCCAUAGUCAUAUUUCUCGAUUGGAUACGUUAUAACAUGCUACAAACUCCGCCGCCAUGAUUGAAGAAGUUAUGAGUGUCUGCUUCGUACUCUUUUAGGAUAUAGCUCUUCCAACCACCAGAAAGACAUAGCCCAAUGUGGAUUUUCUAUUGUCAUGAUAUCCGACAAAUCAAAAUCAGAAUAACCAAUAAUCUCUAAUUGGUUUGAUUUCCUGUAUGUAAGCAUGUAAUCUUUUGUUAUCUAUAAAUACCACUUUACCAGCUUGGCUGCCUUUCAACGAUUCAUCCCAGAGUUAUUUAAAUAUCUGCCUAGCAUUCCAACAACGAAUGGUAAAUCUGGGCAUGUGCAUACUUGAGCAAACUUCAAACUCUCAACUACUGAAGUAUAUGAAGUUUUCUGCAUUUUCUUUUUCUUCAAGAUCAUUCUUAGGGCAUUGAUUGAGACUAAAUUUGUCUCCCUUAGCAUAAGGAUAUCUCCUUGUUCACAAUCCUAUAUUCCAUAUCUCUUAAACACUUUAUUGAUAUAGUUUUUUUCGAUAAUUCAAGAAUACCCUGAGAACUAUCUGGUGUAUCGGUAUUCCUAAUAUAAAAGAGAUGCCAUCAAGAUCUUUCAUUUCAAAAAAAUUUGAUUGAAAUUUCUUAGUUUCGUAUAAUAAGCCUAUGUUAUUGCAGGUAAGUAGUAUUCAUCAACAUACAAUACCAAAAAAAUAUAUUUACUUCCACUGAACUUGUGAUAGAUACAAUCAUCAACUGCAUUUAUCUCAAAAACAAACAAGGUGAUUAUUUCAUGAAAUUUGGGACACCAUUGACAGGAAGAUUACUUAAGCUCAUGGAUGAAUUUCUUUAAAUUGCAAAUCAUUUUCUUUUGGUCUCUUGAUGCAAAGUUUUCUAGUUGCACUAUAUAUUGUAUCAUCAAUGUCACUAUUGAGAAACAUCGUCUUUACAUCAAUCCGAUAUAGCUCAAGAUCGAAAUGUACCACAAGUGAUAUUACAAUCUUGAAAGAGUCUUUCAUUGACACUAGAGAGAAAGUCUCAUUAUAAUCGAUACAUUCCCUUUGAAUAAAGCAUUUUGCAACAAGACGAG
rnacentral:lncRNA from 1 species